GAUGAACGCUGGCGGCGUGCCUAAUACAUGCAAGUCGAGCGAACUGAUUAGAAGCUUGCUUCUAUGACGUUAGCGGCGGACGGGUGAGUAACACGUGGGCAACCUGCCUGUAAGACUGGGAUAACUUCGGGAAACCGAAGCUAAUACCGGAUAGGAUCGUCUCCUUCAUGGGAGAUGAUUGAAAGAUGGUUUCGGCUAUCACUUACCGAUGGGCCCGCGGUGCAUUAGCUAGUUGGUGAGGUAACGGCUCACCAAGGCAACGAUGCAUAGCCGACCUGAGAGGGUGAUCGGCCACACUGGGACUGAGACACGGCCCAGACUCCUACGGGAGGCAGCAGUAGGGAAUCUUCCGCAAUGGACGAAAGUCUGACGGAGCAACGCCGCGUGAGUGAUGAAGGCUUUCGGGUCGUAAAACUCUGUUGUUAGGGAAGAAUAAGUACAAGAGUAACUGCUUGUACCUUGACGGUACCUAACCAGAAAGCCACGGCUAACUACGUGCCAGCAGCCGCAGUAA
rnacentral:rRNA from 1 species